AUUUAAGUAAGAAGCAAAUCAUUUGUGAUCAGUUUCGACCUGAUAGUAAGAUAAUAAUUAUCCUUAUUUUC
rnacentral:tRNA from 1 species